GUUUGCACUCAUCGGGGAAGGGUGAGAACCUUCGACUAAGGUUCGAUUCGAGCGAAAGCGAGAGAACGUUGCCACAGGCAACGGCCCGAAGGGUGAGGAGCGAAGCGACGAAUAAUCCUUCCCCCA
rnacentral:sRNA from 1 species